ACCCGCUGAAUUUAAGCAUAUAAGUAAGUGGUGGAAAUUAAACCAAAUGGGAUUUCUUUAGUAAUUGCGAAUGAACAAGGAUAUGCUUAGCUUGACAAAUGGAGCUUUUGGCUUUGAGUUGUAUUGUGGAAAUGUACCACCAACAGAGGUGCAAGUGUCAGCCAUUUGAAAGAAAGCGUCAAUGAGGGUGAGAAUCCUGUUUGUCAUGUGCAGCCCUCUGUGCACGGUGUAUAUUUGCUGAGUCACACUCCUUGGCAUUGGAAUGCAAAGUGGGUGGUAAGUUUCAUACAAAGGUAAAUAUGCAAUUGAGACUGAUAGCACACAAGUACCAUGAGGGAAAUAUGAAAAGGACUUUGAAAAGAGAAUUAAAUGAGUUUGUAUUUGCUGAACACAAAGCAAACAGACUUGAUUUGCUUGGUGAGAUUGUAGUGCUUGCUUGACAAUAGGUUUUGGCUGUGGGUGAAAUGAUUCUUUCUUUGCAUGCCAGGUUCUAUGUGUACAUUUGAUUACCUUUGCACAUGAAUGGUAAUUUUCCUGCGGGGGGUGGAUUGCAUGUGCAUGUAAUGAUUUGUGUUUUGAUGAAUGUGUCUGGUGUAUCUGUUUUUGUUCCAUGUGUUUGAGGUUGCUUCCUUCCUUGGGCUUACAAGCCCUGACACACACAAUCUGGCAAAAUGUUUCUGCUUGACCCGUCUUGAAACACGGACCAAGG
rnacentral:rRNA from 1 species